UACGUAGGAUGCAAGCGUUGUUCGGAAUUACUGGGCGUAAAGAGUACGUAGGCGGUUUGUUAAGUCUGCUAUUAAAGACUGGAGCUUAACUCCAGGACUGUAGUGGAAACUGUCAGACUAGAGGACAAUAGAGGAAGUCGGAAUUCUCAGUGUAGCGGUGAAAUGCGUAGAUAUUGGGAAGAACACCAGUGGCGAAAGCGGACUUCUGGGUUGUUACUGACGCUGAGGUACGAAAGCGUGGGGAGCAAACGGG
rnacentral:rRNA from 1 species